AGGGCAGCCAGUCUCUGCAGGGGUCUCCAGCUCUACGCAUAUGAAUGAGCACAAAGAAGGGCCCUCCUGCUCGUAGGGACUGCAGGCUAAUCUGGGAUUGCCUAAUUCCUGCCUGACAGGUUUCUCCCUGGGGCCCACCCAGGCCACCCUCUUUAAGCUUGGAACCCACACACCCUCAUGCCGUUAGCCUGCUCUGUUUCUUAAAUAUUACCUUCCAAUAUGUAAUUCACUUAUUUAUUAUGUUUGUUCUUUAUUUCCUCUUUCCUCUAUGAUAAUAUUCGUUCUUAUGAGGGCAAAGAUGUCUGUCCAUUAGAACAACGCCUGUAACAUAUUAGGCACUUGGUAAAUAUUUGUUGAAGGAAUGCAUGGAAAUCUCAGAUGAAAACGCUUUUUCUCAAUCCUGGUGGGGCUUUGUGGCACUUAACAAAUGCUCCAAAAAGCCCUUCGCCCCGCUCAGGGUGUCAAGGCAGCAACCUGAGAGCGACGCCCCUUCUGCUUUCUGGAAUUUGGGCUGUGUUGCCUGCUUGUCUUAUGUCUAUUCUUUUAGCCGCCCUGAUCUGGAGUUUGAUAUUGCACGCCCGGUCUUCCAACAUCAUGGCUACUGUAAUAAACUGAACGGCUGAAUGCAUCCUUUUCUCCCCUUGCAGCAUGAAGGGCAGUUCCCGGUAUCCGGUGAGUAGGAAACACAAAUCUAUAAUGAAACUGGGAUUUGAAAGCGCCACCUUCAGUUGUAAGAUCUCAGGGGGGACUGCGCGAGCUGAAGCCGGCAGGGCUGCGGCAGUCCCGCUUUCCCGGGCCUCCUCCGCCUCAGACCUGCAGGGCAGGGGUGAGGACAAAGGAGGGGAGGGGAGAGGAGCGCCUGCUUUCUCCUUCCCUCCAGCUCUCUUAACUGGAAGGCAGCAAGCAUUCUGGGCCUUUCCAGGCGAAAGCAUUGCCCCCACUAGAAUGUAAGCUUCAAAAAGGCAGAGAUCUUUGUUCACUGCUGCAUCUGCAGUGCCUGGAAUAAUGAGUGCCUGAUACAGAAUAGGUCCUCAAUAAAUAUUUGCUGGAUGAAUGAAUAAAGAGGAUGUUAAUGACAGGUGAAAAGUGUAAGUUUCCCUGACAAAGGGAAGAUAGCAGGAAGAAGAAAGUGACUUUGCAGAUUGGCAACUAGAGCUCAGCUGACAACGCUGCAUAUCUUGCUGGAAGUCAGCUGAGAGAAAGAAGUUUGAACACUGAGGAAUGGUCACAGACAUCUGAGGAUUCUUUGUUUUUGCUUCUUAAGGAGUUGACUGAUCUUUGUCAGUUCAACAUGGCCAAGAGGAAACCAGCAAUCAAUACUGGUGGGCAGAAAUUCUGAUUAUGGAACAAUUGCGCAAAUUCACUUAGAAAGAGUUGGGCAGUAUAAUCAUGUUACUAGUGAUAGCAGCUACAUACAUUGAGUGCUUACCAAAUGCCAGGUGCUUUCCAGGCUAUACAUGGAGUAUCCCAUUUAAUCCCUACAAGUAACUCAGGAGGUACGCACUAGAUUUUUCAUUUUAUAUGUAAGAAAAUGAGACGCUGAGCAGGUUGUCAAAGACCAUAUACCUGGGAAAAUGUCAUUUGUUCAUGUGGUUAUGUUUCGAAAUGAGACAAGAUAGAAAAUUUUAGGUUGAUCUUUGUAAUCUAAAAAUGAGCCUAGUGAAUUGUGGAUACCAAGCAUGAAGCUGUGGAACAUGGACAGGAAGAUGAGAUUUGAACAUCGGAUCUGCAACUCUCUGUGUAUAUGACUUGAGGCAAGUUGCUUAUCUCUCUAAGUUUAGACUUAUCAUUUGUAAAAUGUAAAAAAUCAUAUAAUCCUUGUAGAGUUGUCCACAUUAAAUAUAAUGACACAUGGAAACAGCUAAUAUAAUGUCUAACCCAGAGAAGGCACUCAAGAAAUAGCAUUAUUAUCACUAUUCAUUAUUAUUAAUAUUGAAGGAAUUCAGUCUGCUCUCUUGACUCCAUACUUGUGAAUGCCCACACAACCAUGCUUCUCAGUGUUUACAAUCAACUGGCCAGUAGUUUGAAAGAGCAAAUACUUGAGUUCUUCACUCAGAGAUUCUAAUUUAGAGAUAAUGGGAGUCUAGAAAUCUCACUCUCAAAUGGAGAAUUUGCAUUCCCUUAACUCCAAAAAGAAAGAGAAUCUCUGCCCCUUUUUAAUGUUGUGCUACCUGAAAUUCUCAUGUGGAGAGAACCCUCUGAAGCGGUGUUGCCUAAGACUAAGGGAAUAUGUUCUGGAGCCUUUGGCAAGCACAGCAAGCUCUCUGGGCCUCAUUGUCUUUAUCUGUAAAAUUGGGAUAACAAUAAUUCCUAUUUCAUACAGAUGAACCAGGGCUUAAAAUAACCAUGUAAAAUAAUUUGAAAGAGCUUGUCAUAAAUUAGAUAAUCUAAUAAAAAUAAUAAAGACAAC
rnacentral:lncRNA from 1 species